rnacentral:rRNA from 1 species
UACGAAGGGGGCUAGCGUUGCUCGGAAUCACUGGGCGUAAAGGGUGCGUAGGCGGGUCUUUAAGUCAGGGGUGAAAUCCCCGAGCUUAACUCGGGAACUGCCAUGGAUACUAUUUGUCUUGAAUAUUGUGGAGGUAAGCGGAAUAUGUCAUGUAGCGGUGAAAUGCUUAGAUAUGACAUAGAACACCAAUUGCGAAGGCAGCUUACUACACAGUUAUUGACGCUGAGGCACGAAAGCGUGGGGAUCAAACAGG